UACGAAGGGGGCGAGCGUUGUUCGGAUUUACUGGGCGUAAAGCGUGCGCAGGCGGUUCUAUAAGACAGAUGUGAAAUCCCCGGGCUCAACCUGGGAACUGCAUUUGUGACUGUAGAGCUGGAGUGCGGCAGAGGGGGAUGGAAUUCCGCGUGUAGCAGUGAAAUGCGUAGAUAUGCGGAGGAACACCGAUGGCGAAGGCAAUCCCCUGGGCCUGCACUGACGCUCAUGCACGAAAGCGUGGGGAGCAAACAGG
rnacentral:rRNA from 1 species